rnacentral:rRNA from 1 species
CCUACGGGAGGCAGCAGUAAGGAAUAUUGGUCAAUGGACGCAAGUCUGAACCAGCCAUGCCGCGUGAAGGAUGAAGGUCCUCUGGAUUGUAAACUUCUUUUAUAGGGGGCGAAAAAAGGGAAUUCUUUCUCACUUGACGGUACCUUAWGAAUAAGCACCGGCUAACUCCGUGCCAGCAGCCGCGGUAAUACGGAGGGUGCAAGCGUUAUCCGGAUUUACUGGGUUUAAAGGGUGCGCAGGCGGGCGAUUAAGUCAGUGGUGAAAUCUUCGAGCUUAACUCGGAAACUGCCGUUGAUACUAAUUGUCUUGAAUACUCGGGAGGUGAGCGGAAUAUGUCAUGUAGCGGUGAAAUGCUUAGAUAUGACAUAGAACACCGAUUGCGAAGGCAGCUCACUACAGAGAUAUUGACGCUGAGGCACGAAAGCGUGGGGAUCAAACAGGAUUAGAUACCCUGGUAGUCCACGCCCUAAACGAUGAUUACUCGACAUACGCGAUACACAGUGUUUGUCCAAGCGAAAGCAUAAGUAAUCCAC